CGGGGUGGAGCAGCACGGUAGCUCGUCGGGCUCAUAACCCGAAGGUCGCAGGUUCAAAUCCUGUCCCCG
rnacentral:tRNA from 1 species